GAGUUUGAUCAUGGCUCAGGACGAACGCUGGCGGCGUGCCUAAUACAUGCAAGUCGAGCGCAGAGGUAUUUAGCUUGCUAGAUACUGAUGAGCGGCGAACGGGUGAGUAACGCGUGGAUAACCUGCCUUAUAGAGGGGGAUAACUAUUGGAAACGAUAGCUAAUACCGCAUAACAACUUAGUACUCAUGUACUAAGUUUAAAAGUAGCAAUUGCUACGCUGUGAGAUGGAUCCGCGUUGUAUUAGCUAGUUGGUAAGGUAACGGCUUACCAAGGCGAUGAUACAUAGCCGACCUGAGAGGGUGAUCGGCCACACUGGGACUGAGACACGGCCCAGACUCCUACGGGAGGCAGCAGUAGGGAAUCUUCGGCAAUGGACGGAAGUCUGACCGAGCAACGCCGCGUGAGUGAAGAAGGUUUUCGGAUCGUAAAACUCUGUUGUAAGAGAAGAACACUGAGGAGAGUGGAAAGCUCCUUAGUUGACGGUAACUUACUAGAAAGUCACGGCUAACUACGUGCCAGCAGCCGCGGUAAUACGUAGGUGGCAAGCGUUGUCCGGAUUUAUUGGGCGUAAAGCGAGCGCAGGCGGAUCAUUAAGUCUGAUGUAAAAGGCAAUGGCUUAACCAUUGUAAGCAUUGGAAACUGGUGACCUUGAGUGCAGUAGAGGAGAGUGGAAUUCCAUGUGUAGCGGUGAAAUGCGUAGAUAUAUGGAGGAACACCGGUGGCGAAAGCGGCUCUCUGGACUGUAACUGACGCUGAG
rnacentral:rRNA from 1 species